UGGGGAAUAUUGGACAAUGGGGGCAAUCCUGAUCCAGCAAUGCCGCGUGUGUGAAGAAGGUCUUCGGAUUGUAAAGCACCUUCGACGGGGACGAUGAUGACGGUACCCGUAGAAGAAGCCCCGGCUAACUUCGUGCCAGCAGCCGCGGUAAUACGAAGGGGGCUAGCGUUGCUCGGAAUGACUGGGCGUAAAGGGCGUGUAGGCGGUUUACACAGUCAGAUGUGAAAUCCCCGGGCUUAACCUGGGAGCUGCAUUUGAUACGUGUAGACUAGAGUGUGAGAGAGGGUUGUGGAAUUCCCAGUGUAGAGGUGAAAUUCGUAGAUAUUGGGAAGAACACCGGUGGCGAAGGCGGCAACCUGGCUCAUGACUGACGCUGAGGCGCGAAAGCGUGGGGAGCAAACAGGAUUAGAUACCCUGGUAGUCCACGCUGUAAACGAUGUGUGCUAGAUGUUGGGUAACUUUGUUAUUCAGUGUCGCAGUUAACGCGUUAAAGCACACCGCCUGGGGAGUACGGCCGCAAGGUUGAAAC
rnacentral:rRNA from 1 species